CGAGUGGGUAAUACCUGGCGAUUCAGCGGGGAGGCAUCUUUCUGCUGGGAAACGAGUUUCGCCUCGGGAGGGGCUCAUGUAGUAUUAGCUAGUUGGUAAGGUAACGGCUUACCAAGGCGAAGAUGCUUAGCGGGUGUGAGAGCACGACCCGCGCCACUGGCACUGAGACACUGGCCAGACUCCUACGGGAGGCUGCAGUCGAGGAUCUUCGGCAAUGGGCGCAAGCCUGACCGAGCGACGCCGCGUGUGCGAAGAAGGCCUUCGGGUUGUAAAGCACUGUCGAGGGGGAGAAAGCCCGCAAGGGUUGAUCGACCCCUGGAGGAAGCACGGGCUAAGUUCGUGCCAGCAGCCGCGGUAAGACGAACCGUGCGAACGUUGUUCGGAAUCACUGGGCUUAAAGGGCGCGUAGGCGGGUGGCCAAGUCGGUGGUGAAAUCCUCCAGCUUAACUGGAGAACUGCCUUCGAUACUGGUU
rnacentral:rRNA from 1 species